rfam:Picea glauca, whole genome shotgun sequence.
GGUUCCAUGGUAUAGUGGCGAGGAUGAUAGACUUUAUAUCUAGUAACCCAAAUUCAAAUAUUGGUGGUAUCU